rnacentral:rRNA from 1 species
AUGAACGCUGGCGGCGUGCCUAAUACAUGCAAGUCGAGCGAACAGAUGAGGAGCUUGCUCCUCUGACGUUAGCGGCGGACGGGUGAGUAACACGUGGAUAACCUACCUAUAAGACUGGGAUAACUUCGGGAAACCGGAGCUAAUACCGGAUAAUAUAUUGAACCGCAUGGUUCAAUAGUGAAAGACGGUUUUGCUGUCACUUAUAGAUGGAUCCGCGCCGCAUUAGCUAGUUGGUAAGGUAACGGCUUACCAAGGCAACGAUGCGUAGCCGACCUGAGAGGGUGAUCGGCCACACUGGAACUGAGACACGGUCCAGACUCCUACGGGAGGCAGCAGUAGGGAAUCUUCCGCAAUGGGCGAAAGCCUGACGGAGCAACGCCGCGUGAGUGAUGAAGGUCUUCGGAUCGUAAAACUCUGUUAUUAGGGAAGAACAAAUGUGUAAGUAACUAUGCACGUCUUGACAGUACCUAAUCAGAAAGCCACGGCUAACUACGUG